CCUACGGGUGGCAGCAGUGAGGAAUAUUGGUCAAUGGACGAGAGUCUGAACCAGCCAAGCAGCGUGAAGGAUGACUGCCCUAUGGGUUGUAAACUUCUUUUAUAUGGGAAUAAAACGUUCCACGUGUGGGAUUUUGUAUGUAUCAUAUGAAUAAGGAUCGGCUAACUUCGGGCCAGCAGCCGCGGUAAUACGGAGGUUCCGAGCGUUAUCCGGAUUUAUUGGGUUUAAAGGGAGCGUAGGUGGAUUGUUAAGGCAGUUCUGAAAGGUUGCGGCUCAACCGUAAAAUUGCAGUUGAAACUGGCAGUCUUGAGUGCAGUAGAGGUGGGUGGGAUUCGUGGUGUAGCGGUGAAAUGCGUAGAUAUCACGAAGAACUCCGAUUGCGAAGGCAGUUCACUGGACUGCAACUGACGCUGAGGCUCGAAAGUGUGGGUAUCAAACAGGAUUAGAUACCCCAGUAGUC
rnacentral:rRNA from 1 species